UUUAGAUGUUGUAUUUUUGUGGAUUGGAUAUUUUUUUAAAAUUAUUUACGUUAAUAGCGUAUGUUACGAUGUUACAUUGGAGGUUACUAAAACUCAGGAAUAUCUUCUUUAUUUGUUAAAGGACACAAUUAUUGUCCAAGAGAUUAAUGAAUUUAUUGAACAAAUAGAACAAAAUCCUCUUUUAUUUACACUUUUUGGAGUUCAAUUAAAUCAUGGAAUGAUAACAAUU